UUACCCUUUUUACCAACACUAAUAACAGUGUAAUCAAUACCAAGAUUCUUCAACUCAGCAAUUCUAGCCUCAGCCUUUUUCAAUAUUGCAUUUGAUCUUUUGUGUGUUCUUGACAGAAUCAAUACGGGUUCUAAGCUCUCUGAGGCCACACUGAAGAGGGGUGACAGAAGAACGUGAAGGGGUGGGAGAGGAUAAAGAAGAGUUUUGUGAAGGAAGCUGAAAAUGGUUCAAAGCAGAACGAAAUGAGAGGUUAGAUGCAUCAGAUAGUGAAGGUUUGGAAGACACCAACAUGGUGAUGUUGGAGCAAGACAUUGUUUUUUGUUGUUAUUGUUGUUAUGUUUUUGGGGUUUGUGAGGUCUUAUCUACUUCUCAUGUCAAAGGUAUUUGUGUGUGGUUGUGAUUGAAUGAGUGGAGGGAAAUAGAGGAGUGGAUGAGGUUUUGGGAUAACGAUUUUAACUGUUGGAGAUAGCAGAUUU